rnacentral:rRNA from 1 species
CCUACGGGAGACAGCAGUAGGGAAUCUUCCACAAUGGAUGAAAGUCUGAUGGAGCAACGCCGCGUGAGUGAAGAAGGGUUUCGGCUCGUAAAGCUCUGUUGGUAGUGAAGAAAGCUAUAGGUAGUAACUGGCCUUUAUUUGACGGUACUUACUUAGAAAGUCACGGCUAACUACGUGCCAGCAGCCGCGGUAAUACGUAGGUGGCAAGCGUUGUCCGGAUUUAUUGGGCGUAAAGCGAGUGCAGGCGGUUCAAUAAGUCUGAUGUGAAAGCCUUCGGCUCAACCGGAGAAUUGCAUCAGAAACUGUUGAACUGGAGUGCAGAAGAGGAGAGUGGAACUCCAUGUGUAGCGGUGGAAUGCGUAGAUAUAUGGAAGAACACCAGUGGCGAAGGCGGCUCUCUGGUCUGCAACUGACGCUGAGGCUCGAAAGCAUGGGUAGCGAACAGGAUUAGAUACCCGAGUAGUC